rnacentral:lncRNA from 1 species
UUCUAGGUUGAACGUCAGAAGAAGCCAAGGCAAGAACUGAUGAGGCUGAUACAGGAGCCGAUGAAGAAGCCAAGGCAGGAACUGAUGAGGCUGAUACAGGAGCUGAUGAAAAAGCCUGGCAAGGAACUGAUGAGGCUGACGCAGGAGCCGAUGAAGAAGACUGGCAAGGAACUGAUGAGGCUGACGCAGGAGCCGAUGAAGAAGACUGGCAAGGAACUGAUGAGGCUUACGCAGGAGCCGAUGAAGAAGACUGGCCAGGAACUGAUGAGGCUGAUGCAGGAGCCUCCAAUAAAGAAGUCGACGCAGGAGCCUUCAACAAAAAGAGCUGAGUGGUUUCUUCGGCAGACCGCCUUUGUCCUCAACUGCUAAAGAAGGACAAAAAAAAAAAAAAAAAACACAAGAUAGGCAAAAGUCAGUGUCAAAGCAGCAAGAAGACAAUCUCAUCAGCACAGUGUUUUGAUGUUGUGUUUCAUUGAUUAUGCUAUGGUACAUAAACAAUUAAAGACAAUAAUAAAGGGUUAUACACACUGCAAAUUUUAGAUUGUAGAUUUAACUACCUUAGAGUUCAAAUUAACACUCCCUCAGUGUUUAUAUGGGAACCACUAUAAAAGUGUUAAAAAUAACACUUUUGAAAGUGUUAAAAAAAUUUACCACUCAGAGAGUGUUAAUUAGCAAACUCUUAUUGUGUAAAAUAUAUGUAAAAUGUAUAUCAAAAUACUGGCAGCAGUAGCCAAAACCAAAGAUGAAAUCAACUGAGAAUAAAACUUUUAAUAAAAUAAUAAUUAAUAAAAAAAUAAACAAAUUACAAAAUAAAAUUAAUUUUUAUUUUCAACAUCUUUAAAACAACUCAUGACAUUAAACAACUCAUCAUGGAGCUUCACUUAUUACUGAGCUUUGGCUUUAAUUCUGUCAUGUGAACAAAAGCUCUUUAUGAAAUUUCUGUUGUUCAUUUGAAGUCACCAUGAUGGAGGACAGAGUCUGCUUUAGUAGGGCUCUUCAACUUCUUGCUAUAAAUGGUUUUUUUUUUAAUUUGGAUGCUAUAAUUAUUAGUGCUAAUCACACUAUUCUUACAUGUAGCAUGAAAAUUCAAAAGAAAAUGUGAGUGUCAGUCUGAAGAGAUUAACUAUGAUAUCAAAGCCAUCUUCUCCUGCUUGUUUUCUAAUUCAGUGUCACAUUAGUUAUGUGUGUGAAAUAAAUAAAAUACAUAAAUGAAACC